AAUAGAUACCCCGGUAGUCCACGCCGUAAACUAUGGAUGCUAGCUGUUAACCCGUAUCGACCCGGUUAGUAACGAAGCUAACGCGUUAAGCAUCCCGCCUGUGGAGUACGGUCGCAAGACUAAAACAUAAAGGAAUUGACGGGGGACCCGCACAAGCGGUGGAGCGUGUUCUUUAAUUCGAAGGUAAGCGAAGAACCUUACCAGGGUUUGUACAUCCCGACGAAGGCUUCCGAAAGGAAACUGUGCCGCAAGGAACUCGGUGACAGGUGAUGCAUGGCCGUCGUCAGCUCGUGUCGUGAGAUGUUUGGUUAAGUCCAUCAACGAGCGCAACCCUUAUAUUCAGUUGGAUUUCUCUGAAUAGACUGCCCCGGUAACGGGGAGGAAGGAGGGGAUGAUGUCAGGUCAUUAUUUCCCUUACAUCCUGGGGCUAGAAACACGCUACAAUGGCCGGUACAAAGGGCAGAGCCAAGUCGCGAGACGGAGCAAAUCCCAUCAAAGCCGGUCUCAGUUCGGAUAGGAGGCUGAAAUUCGCCUCCUUGAAGCCGGAAUCGCCAGUAACGGU
rnacentral:rRNA from 1 species